GAGCGCAACCUUGCCAAGGUUGAGGUCGAGAGUUCGAGACUCUUCUCCCGCU
rnacentral:tRNA from 1 species